rnacentral:rRNA from 1 species
UACAGAGGUCCCAAGCGUUGUUCGGAUUCACUGGGCGUAAAGGGUGCGUAGGCGGCCGGGUCAGUCUGCUGUGAAAUCCCGCAGCUCAACUGCGGAACUGCAUUGGAUACUAUCCGGCUAGAGGAAUGGAGGGGAGACUGGAAUUCUCGGUGUAGCAGUGAAAUGCGUAGAUAUCGAGAGGAACACCAGUGGCGAAGGCGAGUCUCUGGACAUUUCCUGACGCUGAGGCACGAAAGCCAGGGGAGCAAACGGG